AUUUGAGUGCCUUAUUGGAAUGAUGUUGAGUCCACAUGUUCAGACAGACAGGAAGUGGCUGAUUAAAUCACCUUUAUUAAAAGAUACAAGAUGCUGGAAUACCAACACUUUAGAAUGCAGAAGUACUUUACACACAGGCCCAGGCUUGUGUCCAACAUGGCCCCUUAUUCACUAUAUAGUGCACUACUUUACACACAGGCCCAGGCUUGUGUCCAAUAUGGCCCCUUAUUCACUAUAUAGUGCACUACUUUACACACAGGCCCAGGCUUGUGUCCAAUAUGGCCCCUUAUUCACUAUAUAGUGCACUACUUUACACACAGGCCCAGGCUUGUGUCCAAUAUGGCCCCUUAUUCACUAUAUAGUGCACUACUUUACACACAGGCCCAGGCUUGUGUCCAAUAUGGCCCCUUAUUCACUAUAUAGUGCACUACUUUACACACAGGCCCAGGCUUGUGCCCAACCAAACUCACAUAGAGGCUGUAUCCAAUAUGGCCCCUUAUUCACCAUGUAGUGCACUACUUUAGACCAGAGCCCUAUUCCCUAUAUAGGGCACUACUUUAGACCAAAGCCCUAUUCCAUAUAUAGUGCACUACUUUAGACCAGAGCCCUAUUCCCUAUAUAGUGCACUACUUUAGACCAGAGCCUAAUUCCAUAUAUAGUGCACUACUUUAGACCAGAGCCCUAUUCCCUAGAUAGUGCACUACCUUUAACUACAGCAUUAUUCCAUAUAUAGUGCACUACUUUAGACCAGAGCCCUAUUCCCUAUAUAGUGCACAACAUUAUACUACAGCCCUAUUCCCUAUAUAGUGCACUACUUUAUACUACAGCCCUAUUCCCUAUAUAGUGCACUACUUUUAACCAGAGCCCUGAAUAGACCAGACACCUAAUCAUCUAUAUACAUCUUAAUCUAGCAUUGUGUUUCUCCUAUUAAUCACCCUGUGAAUGACUCUCUAUGGGUCCAGGUUAACACACUAUAAAGGGAACAGAAUGACUCUCUAUGGGUCCAGGUUAACACACUAUAAAGGGGAACAGAAUGACUCUCUAUGGGUCCAGGUUAACACACUAUAAAGGGGAACAGAAUGACUCUCUAUGGGUCCAGGUUAACACUCUAUAAAGGGGAACAGAAUGACUCUCUAUGGGUCCAGGUUAACACACUAUAAAGGGAACAGAAUGACUCUCUAUGGGUCCAGGUUAACACUCUAUAAGGGGAACAGAAUGACUCUCUAUGGGUCCAGGUUAACACUCUAUAAGGGGAACAGAAUGACUCUCUAUGGGUCCAGGUUAACACUCUAUAAGGGGAACAGAAUGACUCUCUAUUGGUCCAGGUUAACACUCUAUAAGGGGAACAGAAUGACUCUCUAUGGGUCCAGGUUAACACAUUAUAAAGUGAAUAAGAGUCCAUUUGGAACACAGCCACAGUAGUAAUAACAAAGGUAUUUUUUGAUCAAAAUCCCUGUAAAUAUCUGCGGUAUCCUUGCCAACCCAUUUCAAUCUGCAGGUUGUUUUUUUCUUUUCAAAAUCACAACGUGACAGUAAACCAGUCUUUAAAGAAAAAAGAGAUCUGAAACCAUGCAACACUCAACAAGCCCACGUUACAGUUACUUCUGGGUUCGCCACCGUUUUGAAUGGCAUCAUCAAUAUCAUCAUCAUCAUCAUCAUCAUCAUCAUCAUCAUCAUCAAUAUCAUGAUCAUCGUCAUCAAUAUCAUGAUCAUCAUCAUCAAUAUCAUCAUCAUCAUCAUCAAUAUCAUGAUCAUCAUCAUCAAUAUCAUCAUCAUCAAUAUCAUGAUCAUCGUCAUCAAUAUCAUGAUCAUCAUCAUCAAUAUCAUCAUCAUCAUCAUCAAUAUCAUGAUCAUCAUCAUCAAUAUUAUCAUCAUCAAUAUCAUGAUCAUUAUCAAUAUCAUGAUCAUCAUCAACAAUAUCAUGAUCAUCAUCAAUAUCAUCAUCAUCAAUAUCAUGAUCAUCAUCAAUAUCAUGAUCAUCAUCAUCAUCAUCAAUAUCAUCAUCAUCAUCAUCAAUAUCAUCAUCAUCAACACUUACAACACCAUAAGACUUCACACAACAGUGACAAGGACGUUUUGACGUUUUUUUGGGGGGGGGAGACAGAAUCGAUCAAAUCUCGAAGACCUCAUCCACUGAGUUUCCAUGACAGGACAAAACGGGUCACGUCGUAGAUAGAACGGGGUUCUCUUCUGUUUCAUUAGUUCGUUACCCGAGUCCAUCGCUGCCUUUAGGCCUCAUGCUUGGUGUUAAAGGGGGACAGUGACGAGCAACAGAUAUACACUACACUUCAGCAAACUAACCACUGGCACCAAACACUAACCUGCUGCUCCCAGAUCAGUGUCUAACCUCCGUGUUGGCACCAAACACUAACCUGCAGCUCCCAGAUCAGUGUCUAAC
ensembl:lncRNA